rnacentral:rRNA from 1 species
UACCACAUCCAAGGAAGGCAGCAGGCACGCAAAUUACCCACUCCCGGCACGGGGAGGUAGUGACAAAAAAUAACGAUACGGGACUCAUCCGAGGCCCCGUAAUCGGAAUGAGAACACCCUAAACCCUUUAACGAGGACCUAUUGGAGGGCAAGUCUGGUGCCAGCAGCCGCGGUAAUUCCAGCUCCAAUAGCGUAUAUUAANNNNNNNNNNNNNNNNNNNNNNNNNGCCACGCUGUCGGUUCACCGCCUGUCGGUGCAACUGGCAUGCCGUGGCAUGUCCUGUCGGUGGCCGACAGGCUUCGCGGCGCGCCCUAUGCGUUCACGCGUGUAGGUCGUCGCGCCACGUCGUCCUUGUAGGCCGGCUCAAUCCUACCGCGGUGCUCUUUGCCGAGUGUCGAGGUAGGCCGACACUGUUUACUUUGAACAAAUUAGAGUGCUUAAAGCAGGCUCUGAAAGCAGCCUGAAUAGUGGUGCAUGGAAUAAUGGAACAGGACCUUGGUUCUAUUUUGUUGGUUUUCGGAAUCCAAGGUAAUGAUCAAUAAGGACAGGCCUUGGCAAAUGCUUUCGCNNNNNNNNNNNNNNNCCGUCGCAAGACGCACUAGAGCGAAAGCAUUUGCCAAGUAUGUCUUAAUUGAUCAAGAACGAAAGUUAGAGGUUCGAAGGCGAUCAGAUACCGCCCUAGUUCUAACCAUAAACGAUGCCAGCCAGCGAUCCGCCGAUGUUCCUCCGAUGACUCGGCGGGGAGCUUUCCCCGGGAAACCAAAGCUUUUGGGUUCCGGGGGAAGUAUGGUUGCAAAGCUGAAACUUAAAGGAAUUGACGGAAGGGCACCACCAGGAGUGGAGCCUGCGGCUUAAUUUGACUCAACACGGGAAACCUCACCAGGCCCGGACAUUGGAAGGAUUGACAGAUCGAUAGCUCUUUCUCGAUUCAGUGGGUAGUGGUGCAUGGCCGUUCUUAGUUGGUGGACUGAUUUGUCUGGUUAAUUC